UGACGAAGCAUUUUUUGAAACUAUCUACCUGUAUUAUACCUGUUCUAAGUGUACCCACAACUAUUACAAGAAGAUCUGCGUAUAAGGAAAACUAAAAAGAAAAGCAAAGAUGGGCGUGAAAGUUCAUGUUGAAUAUUGGUAUGUUAUUGUUUUCAUUCAUAUUUAUUUUUGUAAUGUAAUUGUUUUUUAUUCACAUUUAUCAUUUGAAUUUUUUUUUUAAAUAAAUGGAAUCAGCUGUGAUAUUGAUUUUUUCAUUAUUUAGUUUCAGGUGAAUUUUAAUUUAGUUUAGGAAGAUCGAUUGCUUUGUGUUUGCUCAACGUCAAACGGAAAUAUUUUCUUAUUCUUCUGGGCAAGGUUUUGAUAGAUAAUACUUCCCUACACUCAAACAGAUAAAUAAAUUAAAAAAAAAAGCAAAAUGCAUAAUCCAGGGAAUUGAAUCUAUACAUGUAUAUCUGGAUCUUGAAAAUGUAUGUAUGUCCCAUUGCAAAAAUCAAAUGAUGUUUAUUCUUGAGGUAAUCGUAUAAUAGGUCAAAAUGUACAACUGAUAAAAAUGUCAGAACUCAUGUACUGGUAUCAUUUGAAUAAAUAAAGAACGAAGUGUGUGUUACUGUUUGGAUUAAGCAACAUUUAUAGUAACAAGUAUUCAUUUGUAUGUUUCGGAAAGACGUGCGGCAUCUGUUGUCUCUUUGAAAAAUUACCCGUUUCCAUUUUCUAAUAAUUAUAUCUAUAUUUUAAAAAUAUUAUUAUUUAUCAAAUUUAAGUCGUUUACCUUAAAUAUCAAUUUAUUAUAAAAAUCAAUAGCGAAUUUGGCUUGAAUGUGUUUAAGUACAAGCAUAUACAAAUGAAAAACUUUCAUAAACAUCGAUAUAUAAUGCAUGACCUAGACUUCUUUUCUAAUUAAGUAAUUUUUAAAGGUAUAUAAUACAUUAAACACAUAUUAUAUGAUCUAUUAUAAAAUGGUGUGUGAAGCAUAUGAAGGAUUAUUCAGAUAAUCAUGACACAGCAAGUUUUAAUUUCACAAAUGAUACCUAAAUAGGAAGUAAUUCUAUAUUUUCUAUUUAAAAUUGAUAUGUUCCCCGACAUGAGAACACCCUCAGGGUUACAAUCAAUUAAUCGAUCUUCCGACCUGCAGUAAAGCGACAACCGCAUCCCCUUUAUAUGGGGAAUUGAAAAUCCGAAGCCUCGUGUAUAGAUAGUGCAUCGCUCUCUACACGUUAUGAAACUACGGAACUCCUUGGGGCCUAUUGUAAGGCUAGAUUUUAGUUUAUAUCCAAAAUAUCCUCUUGUUCCAGUGGCCGUCCGAAUUUUUCGCAUUUUUAUCCUGAUCAACCUCUAUCACUGGACUAAAGCAUUAUAAACUUGUCUUCGUUCUAAACAUACAUGAACUAUUUGCUACUGGACGUACAAAAAUAUUAAUCAAUAAUUUAUUAAAAUGGGCUACUUUUACAAAUAGUGACUAGGAUAUAGAGUAGCAACUUGUCUCAUUGCUAUUCAUACCUCAUCUUUUUAUAUCUACAUAUUGAUUUAAAUGGAAAAUGCAGAACUUUAAGUUUAGUCUAUAAAAUAUUUUCAAGUUCUAAUUCUUGACAUAACAAUUGAAACAAUUCUACAUAUUUUUAAAUAUUUUUCACAUAUAAAACCUGAAUGGGAGGUAAUUCUAUAUUUUUUAUUUUAAAUUUCUAUUUUAUUCGACAUAAGAACACCAUUCACUGCCAUUAGCAUGACUAGGGGGUUAAGACAUGUUGUCAUAUCUGUGUCUUCUCCUGACAACCAGGCAUCGUGGUGACCAAGUGGUCUAGAAGCUAUACCACAAGGUUGUGAACACUCAGGUUGUGAAACCGCACAUGGCAGAUGUUUUCGAUUCCAAUUUAAAUUGGUAAGGAUUUUAUGCUGAGGGUCUGUGGUUCUCUUCAAUUUACCCCCCCUUGUUUUUAUCCUUAUCAAAACAGCUGGAUGAUACGAAAUAGCCAGCUUGAAUUGAUAAUAAUUUUAGCAAUCUUCCGACCGGCAGUAAAGCGGAAAUAAUUGAAAGAUCUUGAAAAGUUAAAUCCGAUGGGUCUUGUAUAUAGUAUAAACCGUUUUACAACUCUGAGGGAUCCUAAGGUAGCCUGUUGCGUGGCUGAAUUGCUGUCCCUAUCCAAUACAGUAAACCAACUAAUUUUUGCGAGCUAUUUAUUCUCGUGACUUUCGUCAGUAAAAUAAUUACUCGUAUAUUAAUCGCCGCGGAAAUGUACAAAUAGGAUCUUUCAUUAUUUGAAUACAUCAAGUAGUUUGAAAAUCGUCAAAUUAAACCGUUACGUUGUGAACUUGAAAGAUCUAAACGCGAAAAAAAGUAUCCGCGAAAAUAAGUUGGUUGCAAGCACGCCCUCUUGUUCCAGUGGAAGUCCAAAUUUUCCGCCAUUCAUCGCGAUUCACAUAUACUACAUGACUUAUUCAUUGUUAAUUCGCUUUCGUCCUGAACAUGCACGAAAUAUUUGCCACUAGUCAUUCAAUCGUUCAUUUAAAUGAACCACAUAUUUAUGGAAAAUGCAGAGCUGUAACUUUAAGUGUAAUCUAUAAAAUAUCUUCAUUUUCUAAUUCUUAUUUGAUUUGAUUUAUGAUUUUUAAUCUCAUAUUUAUCCUGAAAACAAUGUAUGGAAGUAAUAUUUGCGAAAACAUAUAAAGGAAUUGCCAGUUUUUUUCUGAUUAAAAAUGUAAUGAUUUCCUUAUUUAUAUUUAUUACCUACAUGCACUGACAACAAUGAGAUUUUUGUUAUCCAUUAUAAAAAUACUUAUGAAAACAUGUAUGUUUAUCUCAUUUCAUAUUUUACAGUAGCGGAUGAGGUUACGCAGGCAAGUAUGAGGCGCUUCGAAAGCGCAUCCUUGCCGAGGUACCUGACGCUGACGUCGUAGGGUCAAAGGGUCGCAGAAGUACGUAUAGUUUACAAUAUAGAAAUAUAGGAAAAUAUAUAUGACAAACAUUAUAUACAGUGAUACCUGUCUAAUCUAUACUAUGUUUUUAAGUCAAGUCAUAUAAAGUUUUAUUUGUUAUGAACCUGAUUAUAAAACCGAACUUCUACCAAAACCGAACACAAUCUCAAGUCCCGAAGCAGUAAGUUCAGAAUGUUUUCACUUUACCUUAGAUUUACAAUCAUGCAAUGUCCGGAGAUGUGAAGUGCAAGACAAAAUCCUAGGCCAAAACAAUAAACCUUGGAAUUUUAUACAAAAGGUGUCUUGAUAUUUUCGUUUUUGUUCUGUCAAAUAUUGAUAAAUACGUGUAGUUGUAAACAAAAAUUGCUUAAAGGCGUUCUCCUUUAUCUUUUUUUUUUUGCGAGACGAGAUAUUCCGUUGGUCCAAACAUAAUAAACUUACUAAACUAGAAUGAUAACGACGUUAACUAUAAAAUACAACUUGCGAAGAAAAGAAAAUAAAACAGACACGAACCAACAACAACCACUGAACUGGAAACUCCUGGCUUGUGACUUGUACUUGAACAUUAUUGCAUGGUUAAUAUUAAAAAAAAAUGUGGUAUGAUUGCCAAUGAUACAACUGUCAACAACAGACCAAAAUGACACAGAAAUUAACAACUAUAGGUCAUCGCACGGCCUUCAACAAUGAGCAAAGCCCAUACCGCAUAGUCAGCCCCGAAAUGACAAUGUAAAAUAAUUCAAACGAGAAAACUAACGGCCUUAUUUAUGUAAAAAAAAGAAUCAUGUUUGUGAGCUCUCAACCCUCUCCCUAACCUGGGACAUUGGUGUAACUGUACAAAAUAAGAACCGAUACCGUUUUACAUUAUUUGUUGACGAUGAAAUUUCUUGGUGUCUAUGGACAAAUAUUUCAAGUAUAUCUUGAACGUACAUGAAUUAAGUAUUAGAUCAAUUAUCAAUUGUUUUGCAAUUUUGCAUCCGAUCCCUCGUGUAAAGAGAGUGCAACAGUAUUUGCACGUUAAGAACCCUUGCAACAACUCUUUGAGGGGUCCGUAGGUGGCCUGUUGCAAUGUAAAAUUUCUGUCCCUAUCCAAUAUACCCUCAUUUCGCAGUGGCAGUCCAAAUUUCCCCGACCAUCAUCCCAGAUGGCCUCUCUUGUGACAAGACCUACCUAUUAUAUUUAUUGUGAACUUGUUCUCGUCCUGAAUAUGCAUGAAACAUUUGCCACUGGAAGUUAGGCAACCAACAAUCAAUCAAUCAAUUUUGCAAUGUUGGUCGAAUAUUAUCAAUAACAGAUAAUCUUCCUUUUCCAACCAGACGUAACUGGCAGCGUACAUGCAUACUUGUACAUCCCAUAACAAGACAAGUGCAAUUUUCUUCUUCGUUUUUGAAGCAUUUUUAAAUAAUUAUUCUUUUUUGUACUUUUUGAAUUAAUUUAUCAAACAUUUUCAAACAAAAGACAACAAGACCAAAACUUGUGUAUUUUAAAAUUGAAGCGGUUCCCGAUAGAUAAUUUAUUUGUUUCAAAUGGAAAGAUAGAAAUCCUAAGGGAAAAAGAAUUUGUUAUUCUAUAAAUCAUGUAAAUGACAAUAUCAUAAUCCGAAGUUUGAAAUAAAUGCCAGGGAAAACGACCAAUCGUCUUCGAGAGAGAUCAAAGAAAAACAUUGAAUAAGAUGAGUAGCGACGGAUUUUUAUAAUUAAUUUACUAUCAUCUGUACCCAUAACUUCAAUAUAAUGCAGUAUAUCAUAUUGGGUUUUUCGUUCAUUGUCAUGUAAAUAACCCUAAUAAGUUUUCACCCUUGAUUGUAUAUGCGUUUGCCAUCUUUUUGCCUUUUUAUAGAUAACUAUGUAGUAUACGGGUUUUAUUCAUUUUUGAAGGCUGCAUUGCGUCCUAUAAUUGUAAACCUCGAUUUUUUUGGCAGUUAACUUAGUCUCUGGUGGAGAGGGGUUUCACUGGCAAACAUAACAAAUAUUUUUAUUCCUCUAAUUCUAUGGAAAUAUAUCCCUUUCAUAACCCAUUGUAUAAAACAAUUUAAUCAACGUGUGGUUGCCUGUGAUCUCAGAUGAUGAUUGGCUGAGUAAAAAGGUCACAACCUUUCUCGGCUCCCUGAAAUUAUCAAAGUGUUAAUGCAAUUGACAACUUCGUGGAAGUACAAGGCACUCGAAUGGGAUUUUUAGUUUAGAAAUUUUAUCUGUUAAUCAUUAGAGAAACUAAUCAUUAGAUAGUAACGUUUGGGUUAUCGGAUUUAUCAAAUCUCGAUAGUACAAUUAUAAAUUUUUCAGUCCGAGCCUCGGCGAGGACUUUAAAUUUGAUAAUUUAACUAUGACGAUUGGAUAAAUCUGAUAACUCAGUGACACUUGUAUCAAUGCAAUACUUUAUAUUUAUUAUUUAUACAUAUGAUAUAUAUAUAUAAAUUUUUUUAUUUUAGCUUCAUUUGAAAUUACGAUCAAUGAUACAGAGGUUUUUUCUAAAUUGAAGUUGAAAGGUUGGCCAAUCGAAGAGGAUGUAAGUUCGAUUUAUUUUUUCAUGUGUAUUAGUCCAAGGUAGUUUAAUAAUCUUUAACGUUGGACUCCACUUGUCCGUAUGAUGAAAGUGUUUGGUAGCCUUAGAUAUAAAAAAAAACUGAAUAUAGGUGAUCAUAGGUAAACCGAUAGAAUUAUGAACUGACGUCAUGUAAAAGAUAGUCAAAAUAUACCAAAUAGAUAUUCAAUAACGAAAAACGAUGAACAGAGUGAGACUAACAGAACUUGUUUUUCCCAACAUAGAAAACCGAAAACCGAGCAACACGAAUACAUGCAAUAACCGGAUGGUCGCAGGCGCUUCGGACGGGUAAUCAGAUCCUGUUCCACAUGCAAAUAUCCUGUAGAUUAAUAAAGAUUUUAUGCAUUUGGCCAUAUACAGUCUUUUUCAUUUAAUUCCCGAUUUGAACAUUGACGUAUAUGUAAUUGUCAGCUAAAAAAAACUAUAUCAAAUAAUUAUCUAGAUUGACCAGAAUAAUAAGCUUAGUUACACGAUACUUGUUAGCCAUGGACAUAUAUAUGUAUUAAAGGGGAUGGGAUUGCAAAAAAAAAAAAAAAAAAUCAGAAAUAAUUUUGAUUGUCACAGAAAAUAAAUGGAUUUCAAUGGUCUCUGUCUUCUAUAUGAAUAGACCGAUUAGAAAGCAACAGACGAAAAAAAUGCCACACAUAGAAAUACAUGACUAAAUACAUUAUUUGCAUACAAAGUAGACGCUUAGCCGCAGUUAUUCAAGGUUGCUUUUCGUUUCACAAGUAACCCUCUUUAAACAUAUCCACCAGUCUAUACACAAACAGUUGAACGGUAGCUGAACAAUUAACAAGUAGAUAUUAGUGUAUAAUAUAUAAAGAUGAUAUGUCAGAUAAUAUAAACCAUACAACUGAUGUAUUCAUUGCAAUUUGAUUUGAUUUUUUUGUGUUUUAACACCACUUUUAAGCACCGCUUUUGGGCUAUUUCGUGGAAGCCAGUUUUUAUUUGUUGAGGAAGCCGGAGUGUCUGGAAAAAACCCAAUCGACCUUCGAUAGGAAAACUGACAAUCGUAGUCAAUUAAGAUUGGAGUCGAGUUCACCUUAUUGCAAUUUGAAUAAGGCAAAAAAAAAAACCUUAGUUACGGUAGUCAGAGAUUGAGCAGGAUGAAACCAUUAUUUCAGAGCACACGAAUGAGAUCCCCGUGGUUUUUUAGGGAGUUCUUGCUGUCGUUUUUCUAUGUUAAAAUGUAUUGUGUACGGUUUUUUUGUUGUUUUAUUUUGCCAUAAUAUGGUUAGUUUGUUUUUGACUUUUAAGAUUGAAUAUCCCUUUGACAUGUUUGCCUUUCUUUAUCAAUAAAUUGCUGAAAUACGACAUAUUUUUUUUUUUAUGUUUCAGCUGAUUGAGGUUAUACGACAAGCUGAUCAUGGUAUGGAACCAAAAGAAUUAUCAACGUGCAGGAAAGCUUGUUGUGUCAUUUGUUAAACUGGGAUGUGAUUAAAAAGACGGACAUUAAAAUAUUUGUAAAAUGUAAAACAAAAAUUUUAUUCGCAUUUGCCAUUCAUGUAGCUCACUGAAUGAAAGAUGUAAAAACCAAACACUUAAACAAACGAAAUAAAAAGUGGAACUCUUAA
rnacentral:lncRNA from 1 species